GAUGAAGAACGUAGCGAAAUGCGAUAAGUAGUGUGAAUUGCAGAAUUCAGUGAAUCAUCGAAUCUUUGAACGCACAUUGCGCCCCUUGGUAUUCCAUGGGGCAUGCCUGUUCGAGCGUCAUCUACACCCUCAAGCUCUGCUUGGUGUUGGGCGUCUGUCCCGCCUCCGCGCGUGGACUCGCCCCAAAUCCAUUGGCAGCGGUCUCCUCCUCUCGCGCAGCACAUUGCGCUUCUCGAGGUGCUGCGGCCCGCGUCCAGUAAGCAAUUUACCGUCUUUGACCUCGGAUCAGGUAGGGAUACCCGCUGAACUUAAGCAUAUCAAUAAGCGGAGGA
rnacentral:misc_RNA from 1 species